CGGCGGACGGGUGAGUAACGCGUGGGUAACCUGCCUCAUACAGGGGGAUAACAGUUGGAAACGGCUGCUAAUACCGCAUAAGCGCACAGUACCGCAUGGUACGGUGUGGAAAACUCCGGUGGUAUGAGAUGGACCCGCGUCUGAUUAGGUAGUUGGUGGGGUAACGGCCUACCAAGCCGACGAUCAGUAGCCGACCUGAGAGGGUGACCGGCCACAUUGGGACUGAGACACGGCCCAA
rnacentral:rRNA from 1 species